UACGUAGGGGGCAAGCGUUGUCCGGAAUCAUUGGGCGUAAAGAGCGUGUAGGCGGCCCGGUAAGUCCGCUGUGAAAGUCCAGGGCUCAACUCUGGGAUGCCGGUGGAUACUGUCGGGCUCGAGUCCGGAAGAGGAGUGUGGAAUUCCUGGUGUAGCGGUGAAAUGCGCAGAUAUCAGGAGGAACACCAAUGGCGAAGGCAGCACUCUGGGACGUGACUGACGCUGAGACGCGAAAGCGUGGGGAGCAAACAGG
rnacentral:rRNA from 1 species